rnacentral:rRNA from 1 species
GAUGAACGCUGGCGGCGUGCCUAAUACAUGCAAGUCGAGCGAACGGACGAGAAGCUUGCUUCUCUGAUGUUAGCGGCGGACGGGUGAGUAACACGUGGAUAACCUACCUAUAAGACUGGGAUAACUUCGGGAAACCGGAGCUAAUACCGGGUGAUAUUUUGAACCGCAUGGUUCAAAAGUGAAAGACGGUCUUGCUGUCACUUAUAGAUGGAUCCGCGCUGCAUUAGCUAGUUGGUAAGGUAACGGCUUACCAAGGCAACGAUGCAUAGCCGACCUGAGAGGGUGAUCGGCCACACUGGAACUGAGACACGGUCCAGACUCCUACGGGAGGCAGCAGUAGGGAAUCUUCCGCAAUGGGCGAAAGCCUGACGGAGCAACGCCGCGUGAGUGAUGAAGGUCUUCGGAUCGUAAAACUCUGUUAUUAGGGAAGAACAUAUGUGUAAGUAACUGUGCACAUCUUGACGGUACCUAAUCAGAAAGCCACGGCUAACUACGUGCCAGCAGCCGCGGUAAUACGUAGGUGGCAAGCGUUAUCCGGAAUUAUUGGGCGUAAAGCGCGCGUAGGCGGUUUUUUAAGUCUGAUGUGAAAGCCCACGGCUCAACCGUGGAGGGUCAUUGGAAACUGGAAAACUUGAGUGCAGAAGAGGAAAGUGGAAUUCCAUGUGUAGCGGUGAAAUGCGCAGAGAUAUGGAGGAACACCAGUGGCGAAGGCGACUUUCUGGUCUGUAACUGACGCUGAUGUGCGAAAGCGUGGGGAUCAAACAGGAUUAGAUACCCUGGUAGUCCACGCCGUAAACGAUGAGUGCUAAGUGUUAGGGGGUUUCCGCCCCUUAGUGCUGCAGCUAACGCAUUAAGCACUCCGCCUGGGGAGUACGACCGCAAGGUUGAAACUCAAAGGAAUUGACGGGGACCCGCACAAGCGGUGGAGCAUGUGGUUUAAUUCGAAGCAACGCGAAGAACCUUACCAAAUCUUGACAUCCUUUGACAACUCUAGAGAUAGAGCCUUCCCCUUCGGGGGACAAAGUGACAGGUGGUGCAUGGUUGUCGUCAGCUCGUGUCGUGAGAUGUUGGGUUAAGUCCCGCAACGAGCGCAACCCUUAAGCUUAGUUGCCAUCAUUAAGUUGGGCACUCUAAGUUGACUGCCGGUGACAAACCGGAGGAAGGUGGGGAUGACGUCAAAUCAUCAUGCCCCUUAUGAUUUGGGCUACACACGUGCUACAAUGGACAAUACAAAGGGCAGCGAAACCGCGAGGUCAAGCAAAUCCCAUAAAGUUGUUCUCAGUUCGGAUUGUAGUCUGCAACUCGACUACAUGAAGCUGGAAUUGCUAGUAAUCGUAGAUCAGCAUGCUACGGUGAAUACGUUCCCGGGUCU